rnacentral:lncRNA from 1 species
GAGGAAACAGAAAAAAAGCUAAUGAGGAAGAAGUCAACUGAUGAAUCAAAUGAAAAGAAAACCUCCCAUUGCAGUAGGAUAGGCCAGCUGAUGACCGUCAUCCCACUUCAGUUUGCUUGCCAGUGUUAGCCUUACUACCAACUUGACCUGUGCACACUGAGACAAGCAAGGCAGGCUGGCACCAACGCCAUGACCCAGAGGUGCCCCCUCUUUCCAUAGCCACAUUGACUCCCUUAUUCAGGAAAUGAUUUUAAACAGUAGCUACCUGCAUUUAUGAAGCACUUUAUCUGAUGUAAAGGCAGAGCCAGGGCAAAAGCAAGAUUCAGUCCAGGACAUAGCUAAAUUCCUACAAUAUCAGAUAUAUUAGUAAAGAUUCUGGAUAGCUGUUCUAUUCAGAAUUAAAG